GUUACGUAUACUUGCUAUGCCAUUUUGUAACACUUAUUUUUUUAUAUGAAUACAUUUUCAUUGUUUUUGCAUGGUUUGCAUGAUAAUGCACCACUGUAGGAGUUGAUUAGAAGGUGAUCCUGGAACCAAAAGUCUCCUGUCUUUAGUUGUUUGGUGAGUGUGUGUUUGCGUGUUUGUGUGUUUGCGUGUGUGUGUGUUAGAGAAGAGAGAGAGACUUUGGUAAUAAAACCAUGGCUAGUUUGCUGGCAGUCAUGUUUCACCGUUUCUACUUUUCUCACGUUGCUCUGUAAGGUCUCUGAGGAUCAAUUCUGUCCAGAAACCAGAUUUGUUUUCUGGUCUCAGUGUUUUGUUUUCACGCCACUGUGCUCAAAUUGUGUGUCACCACUUUGUGUGAACUGACUAUCCACUUGAAAAUUUGACUGCGUUUGAAACACUAAAUCUGCUGCUUUGUUGGCACAUGAAUUCAGGGAUAUAAACCACCUGUGAAGUUCUGCUUCUGCUUGAUUAGUAUUCAGAGCGAAACUUCAAUGCAAAAAUAGUGGCUUAAAUUUCCAGCACUAAAAAGAUAAAAAAGAUUCCUACAUGAAGGGAGGCACAAUAUGUCUGUCCCAGUACUCACACUUGUGGUCUUGAAGUAACACAAUCUGUUCUUGAUGCACAUUUCUCCAAAGUUAAGUUUGUAAGUAUUUCUAAUAACUUUCUGUGCUCAGCUUUUCCAGGGAAAAAACUGACUUUUUGAAGUAAUACUGCAUAAAUUCAGUUUUUAAGAACUUUGAUCGCCUGUAGUUUAAAACUUAUCAAAUGAGAAGAACUACUCAUAAUGAAGACGAAUAGGCUCACUUGUGAAUUUACAUAAUUGACUUUUGAUUUUCUAAUGUUUUGUUAUUAAUAACUUUUUCAUUGUUAUCAAAAAAUUGGUCAAUGGCGGGUCCUUUGUUUGUUUCUGGGGAUUAGCCUAAUGUUGGCUAACGCUAGGUUGCUAACACAGACAAAUUGCUAGCUAAAUAUUAUCUGGAGUGUAUAAGGUAAGCUCGUUCAGGAGGUAAUCUUGGUGCUAGGUUGGCUACUCAUUUUAAAUUGCUUUGUAGCUGAUGCCAGAUUCAUGCAGUGUAGCUAAGUUAGUUAUAGUUAACCAGCUAUCCUUUAGCUUUCUUGCUAACAUUACUGUCAUAUUCUUCUUUGUGUGGUGUUGUAUAGCGUUUUGAUAAGGUACCGUCUCAAAUCGAUCAUUCCCAGUCAGUCCAUUGGCAGAAAUGAUCUUUGAAUAUGACUGUGAUCGCUGCAUUGUAUGGACACUCAUGAGGAUAAAUUCUUGUACAGUUACGAUGACAAUUUAGCAGUAAACACCACUUAGCAAGCUAGCUAGUCCAGCUAUCUCCUGCUCAGACUGUGAGUCUGAGUUUCAGAAGAGCAUUGUUGGGUGGUCCAUCUCUUUUUUUACAAAGCCAGUGUGGCUACCGUUUAUUGCGAGAAGUGUCACACGUUUCAAAUUCAAUUUUUUCAUUGUUAUGGGUGUGGGCCUGCUGACUUUCACUUUCAGCUCUCACAAUGCCAGGACAUUACAGAAGACACUGCGUGUUUUAUUAUGUUCAAAUACUAAGCACUACUGUUUGAGUGAAAACUACUGUUAACUAAAUCAGUGAAGAAUAAAGGGGAUUCAGAGCAUCGCACUUUACGGGGAAUCACAAAAACAAACAAACACAUUCCUACCGAGCAUCUAACACAGGAAUAAUCAAAGGUGAGAUCUGGUCUCCGUUUUAUUUAUAUAACACCAAUUUUGUUAGGUAAAAAAAGGGUUUGACACAUAGGUGCUGAGUGUUAGUGCAAGUUCAAUCAGUUGAUUGAGUUCAAGACAAAAUUGAGUAGCACUUCAAGUUAAGCUCGUAUAGCUAACAUUAACUUUCUACAGUACUUGAAAAGAGUGAUUAACGUCAAGGGAAGUUAACUAUAGCCACGCUGCAUGUGUCUGGCAUUUUAGCUUUGAUGUUAUUCUGCUCUCACAGUAAUACGAUGGGCUUGUAGCUGCAGUAGAUGAUAUACAGUUCAUACAAUAGUGCAACAGAACAGUGAAGGACAGGUUUUGACCGAUGCCACAAACAGAAGCUAUAGCAUGCUAAAUACACUUCAUGGUUUUCUAGAUUUUACUCACUAAAAAAAACUUUCUUUUUGUUUUUGGAUUGUCUUACUUCUAUUAGCCCCUCAGAUCAUAAUAGUAAGAUGGUGGUUGGUUGGUGUACUUUCCUGUAAAUCAGCUGAGCCAUAUAUAGUAUUUGCAGGAGCGAUGGUGUACUUGUGUAUCUAAGAUCCAACAAUACUGGAAAUUCACCAAAUAAAUGUGCAUUAGGAUACUCGUGAUGACGUGUGGUUACUGGGACAGUCUUCAGAUUCCUUUUUAAAAUGUUCACUCUUAUUUUAAAGUUGCUUUAAAAAAAGAAAAGAAAAAAAAAACAAGCAAUAAUGAAAUAUUAGCCAUGUUGCAUCGAAUUAAACCACAACAAAUUCGAGGCAGUCAUGUUCCCAGGUGUUGGAUAACGCCGUUUUGUCAGAUGCCGCAUCUGUGUCUUUCAUUUGGCAGAAUUGGUCACCAAGAAAUAAACCAACCCAGCUUAAAGACCUAUAGAGCCCAACAGAAGAGGUGCCAGAUUACAGGUUUAUUAACCAGCAAUUGCAGUUCACUAAGGUAACCCCUAUCAGGCCCCUAAGGUAAGUUUAGGCUCAAAUAACAGCUUGACUCCAGCUACAAAAAGCUCUGAUAUGGGUUCAGAUGUGCUUCUUUACACUACAAAUCAUCUCCUGUGAAAAACGGUGAGUUGGAUAUAUCAGCAUCCCAUCAAACAUCACUAGUGAAAGACACAUACACGGUUUUGAGGUUAUUUAGUGUUCUGGGAAUCAGAACAGCCAGGAAAAUUCUGUAGCUGUGUUUUGUUUCUUAAACACGAAUUAAGGAAAGCAAACAAUAAUUUCCACUGAAUUUUAGGUGUGAUUUUUACUGCAAAGCUCCAAUAAAUCCAGUAUGGUAGCUAAAAACUGAAAGUUGUAACUCUGUAUGCCGUAGCUCAGAGAACAAUAAGGACACCGCCUAAAAUUAGCAAACUGAAUUUAGCUUUUCUACACUCCAAUUCAUCAUAAUUUAAAUUUUAGUUUGAAUUAUUGCAACUUUAAACCUGCUGUAUAGUUCAGUGCUGUGUUGUGAGCAACUCGAAUGUCUAGUUACAAACACAGAAAACCUCAAACUGAAAUAAAGGUACGUGAAGGCGGAGCUUCCUGUUACUGAUCAACAGGUAUUUUUUAAAUGAAAACGCCACAAAGCCAGACCUGACCACCUACUGCAAAUAAAAAGCUUUACAGACGACCACGUAUAGGCCUAAACUGCAUUUAUUACCUUAGACCUAGGACGACACUGAUAUUGAAUGUAAUAUCUCACAAUAUGUACACACAUGAAUUAUUAUUAAUACACAGUUAUAGCAUGUUCAGGCACCUUCACAGUAAAUUGACAGAGGAGACUUCCACACCAGGCUUCGACUCAACAAUUCGUUGCUUUGUUUACUUUGACUGUUUCUGACCUAAAAAUCUUGACUAAUGAACUUAUCUUGCAUUAAUUAUUUUUGACAUUAACUUUUAACUUCGUUAAAUGGAUAAAGUUUUGGUUUAGUAUCUGUGAUGACCAGCCAAAUCAUUUCUGUGUUGAACUGUGGUUGAGCACAGAUAGAUAAAACACAUUUAAGAUGUUUGGAGGCUUCAGGCUCCUCUCACUAUUUACUGGUUUGUGUGAAUCUCUACAGCAAAGAGGGCAAAGUUGGAGCAACUACAGUUUGUUUGUUCUAAUAUCUCAGUUUAAUGAGAUGAAACGUCACCCACUGGAAGCUUAGCUUUUUGGCCUCCGCCAUGUUGGUUUUUUGGAGGCAGAAGUGGCCAUAUUUGAGGUGGAUGUUAUCAGCUAAGGCCAACAAACUUGGUUAGACCUCCCUCACACAGGUCUAGGCACCUGUUGUCAACUGUGGCAACCACUACUUGCUGUUGCUUGGUGAAAUCGGUCACACAGAUGUACCUACUGCUACGCCAAAAGGUUGGACGACCAAGGGUUUGGUGAGUGUAGGAGCCAUUUUUGGGUUAAUACCUUAUGUGGUCGGCAGCAUGGUGGUUAGCACUGUUGCCGCACAGCAAGAAGGUCCUGAGUUCAAUU